AGUGAACGCUGGCGGUAGGCCUAACACAUGCAAGUCGAACGGCAGCACAGUAAGAGCUUGCUCUUACGGGUGGCGAGUGGCGGACGGGUGAGGAAUACAUCGGAAUCUACUUUUUCGUGGGGGAUAACGUAGGGAAACUUACGCUAAUACCGCAUACGACCUACGGGUGAAAGCAGGGGAUCUUCGGACCUUGCGCGAUUGAAUGAGCCGAUGUCGGAUUAGCUAGUUGGCGGGGUAAAGGCCCACCAAGGCGACGAUCCGUAGCUGGUCUGAGAGGAUGAUCAGCCACACUGGAACUGAGACACGGGCCAGACUCCUACGGGAGGCAGCAGUGGGGAAUAUUGGACAAUGGGCGCAAGCCGAUCCAGCCAUACCGCGUGGGUGAAGAAGGCCUUCGGGUUGUAAAGCCCUUUUGUUGGGAAAGAAAAGCAGCAGGUUAAUACCCCGCUGUUCUGACGGUACCCAAAGAAUAAGCACCGGCUAACUUCGUG
rnacentral:rRNA from 1 species